UACGUAGGGUGCAAGCGUUGUCCGGAAUUAUUGGGCGUAAAGAGCUCGUAGGCGGUCUGUUGCGUCGGCUGUGAAAACCCGGGGCUCAACCCCGGGCCUGCAUUCGAUACGGGCAGACUAGAGUUCGGUAGGGGAGUCUGGAAUUCCUGGUGUAGCGGUGAAAUGCGCAGAUAUCAGGAGGAACACCGGUGGCGAAGGCGGGACUCUGGGCCGAUACUGACGCUGAGGAGCGAAAGCGUGGGGAGCGAACAGG
rnacentral:rRNA from 1 species